UACGGAGGGUACAAGCGUUAUCCGGAAUCACUGGGUUUAAAGGGUGCGUAGGCGGUGGCGUAAGUCAGUUGUGAAAUUCCCCGGCUUAACCGGCGGGACUGCGAUUGAUACUGCGUUACUUGAAUCAGGUUGAGGUAGGCGGAAUGUGACAUGUAGCGGUGAAAUGCUUAGAUAUGUCAUAGAACACCGAUUGCGAAGGCAGCUUGCUGGACCUGUAUUGACGCUGAGGCACGAAAGCGUGGGGAGCAAACAGG
rnacentral:rRNA from 1 species